rnacentral:rRNA from 1 species
GUUGUCCGGAUUUAUUGGGUUUAAAGGGUGCGUAGGUGGCCUUAUAAGUCAGCGGUGAAAGUCUGCAGCUUAACUGUAGAACUGCCAUUGAUACUGUAAGGCUUGAGUACUGAUGAGGUAGGCGGAAUUGAUAGUGUAGCGGUGAAAUGCAUAGAUAUUAUCAAGAACACCGAUUGCGAAGGCAGCUUACUAAGGAGUUACUGACACUGAGGCACGAAAGCGUGGGGAUCAAACAGG